AUUGAACGCUGGCGGCAGGCCUAACACAUGCAAGUCGAGCGGAGCGGCGGACGGGUGAGUACUGCCUAGGCAUCUGCCUGGUAGUGGGGGAUAACGUCCGGAACCGGGCGCUACUACCGCCUACUACCAGAUGUUCCCAGGUCGGAUUAGCUAUUUGGUGGGUUAAAGGCCUACCAAGGCGACGACCCGUAACUGGUCUGAUAGGAUGAUCAGUCACACUGGGACUGAGACACGGCGCAGACUCCUACGGGAGGCAGCAGUAGGGAAUAUUGGACAAUGGGCGAAAGCCUGAUCGAGCCAUGCCGCGUGUGUGAAGAAGGUCUUCGGAUUGUAAAGAACUGUAAGUUGGGAAGCGUUACCAACAGAAUAAGCACAGGCUAACUACGUGCCAGCAACAGCGGUAAUAC
rnacentral:rRNA from 1 species